UACGUAGGGACCAAGCGUUGUUCGGAUUUACUGGGCGUAAAGGGCGCGUAGGCGGCAAUUCAAGUCAUCUGUGAAAUCUCCGGGACUUAACUCGGAACGGUCAGAUGAUACUGCUUUGCUAGAGUGCGGAAGGGGCAAUCGGAAUUCUUGGUGUAGCGGUGAAAUGCGUAGAUAUCAAGAGGAACACCUGAGGUGAAGACGGGUUGCUGGGCCGACACUGACGCUGAUAGCGCGAAAGCCAGGGGAGCAAAACGGG
rnacentral:rRNA from 1 species